UACGUAGGGUGCUAGCGUUGUCCGGAAUUAUUGGGCGUAAAGGGCUCGUAGGCGGUUUGUCACGUCGGGAGUGAAAACUCGGGGCUCAACCCCGAGCCUGCUUCCGAUACGGGCAGACUAGAGGUAUGCAGGGGAGAAUGGAAUUCCUGGUGUAGCGGUGAAAUGCGCAGAUAUCAGGAGGAACACCGGUGGCGAAGGCGGUUCUCUGGGCAUUACCUGACGCUGAGGAGCGAAAGUGUGGGGAGCGAACAGG
rnacentral:rRNA from 1 species